UACGGGGGGUGCGAGCGUUGUCCGGAAUCACUGGGCGUAAAGGGCGCGUAGGUGGCAUGAUAAGGGUGUGGUGAAAGCCCGGGGCUCAACCCCGGGUCUGCCAUGCCGACUGUCACGCUAGAGUACUGUAGAGGCAGGCGGAAUUCCGGGUGUAGCGGUGGAAUGCGUAGAGAUCCGGAAGAACACCGGUGGCGAAGGCGGCCUGCUGGGCAGUUGCUGACACUGAGGCGCGACAGCGUGGGGAGCAAACAGG
rnacentral:rRNA from 1 species